rnacentral:rRNA from 1 species
UACGGGGGGAGCAAGCGUUGUUCGGAUUUACUGGGCGUAAAGGGCGCGUAGGCGGCCGCCGCAAGUCAGUUGUGAAAUCUCCGAGCUUAACUCGGAAAGGUCAACUGAUACUGCGGGGCUAGAGUGCGGAAGGGGCAACUGGAAUUCUUGGUGUAGCGGUGAAAUGCGUAGAUAUCAAGAGGAACACCUGCGGCGAAGGCGGGUUGCUGGGCCGACACUGACGCUGAGGCGCGAAAGCUAGGGGAGCGAACGGG